AUAUCUCCAUUUCAUGAUAUUCCAAUUUAUGCAGAUAAGGAUGUGUUUCACAUGGUAGUUGAAGUACCACGCUGGUCUAAUGCAAAAAUGGAGGUAAUGUUUCACCUUACAUUUGAGUCAGACCUAGGAUAUUGGUUUUGAUCUAGUCACACUGACUUGAUCAAGGAUGAACCAUCUGAACGUCAAGGUUUUUCUCUGUCUGGUCCCAGUCUAUUUUCUAGUUGUAUCUCCCAUUGCCUACUAGUCUUCCCUUUGGGCUCCAGCUAAACUCAACUGUUUACAAAUAUGCCCCAAACUUUUCUUCCCAACAUCUUUGCUUCUGAUGUUCCCAAAGCCUAGAAUUACUUUUUCUCCUCUUACUCUCUGUAAGCCCUUCACUGACCCCUCCUUAGUCACCCCAGCCACAGAUACU
rnacentral:sRNA from 1 species